rnacentral:rRNA from 1 species
GCGUGCCUAWACAUGCAAGUCGAGCGGACAGAUGGGAGCUUGCUCCCUGAUGUUAGCGGCGGACGGGUGAGUAACACGUGGGUAACCUGCCUGUAAGACUGGGAUAACUCCGGGAAACCGGGGCUAAUACCGGAUGGUUGUUUGAACCGCAUGGUUCAGACAUAAAAGGUGGCUUUGGCUACCACUUACAGAUGGACCCGCGGCGCAUUAGCUAGUUGGUGAGGUAACGGCUCACCAAGGCGACGAUGCGUAGCCGACCUGAGAGGGUGAUCGGCCACACUGGGACUGAGACACGGCCCAGACUCCUACGGGAGGCAGCAGUAGGGAAUCUUCCGCAAUGGACGAAAGUCUGACGGAGCAACGCCGCGUGAGUGAUGAAGGUUUUCGGAUCGUAAAGCUCUGUUGUUAGGGAAGAACAAGUGCCGUUCAAAUAGGGCGGCACCUUGACGGUACCUAACCAGAAAGCCACGGCUAACUACGUGCCAGCAGCCGCGGUAAUACGUAGGUGGCAAGCGUUGUCCGGAAUUAUUGGGCGUAAAGGGCUCGCAGGCGGUUUCUUAAGUCUGAUGUGAAAGCCCCCGGCUCAACCGGGGAGGGUCAUUGGAAACUGGGGAACUUGAGUGCAGAAGAGGAGAGUGGAAUUCCACGUGUAGCGGUGAAAUGCGUAGAGAUGUGGAGGAACACCAGUGGCGAAGGCGACUCUCUGGUCUGUAACUGACGCUGAGGAGCGAAAGCGUGGGGAGCGAACAGGAUUAGAUACCCUGGUAGUCCACGCCGUAAACGAUGAGUGCUAAGUGUUAGGGGGUUUCCGCCCCUUAGUGCUGCAGCUAACGCAUUUAAGCA